GGUAUUUGAAGAAUUGAUUCAUAUUGGACUGGCCCGGGUUUGGUAUUUGAAGAAUUGAUUCAUAUUGGACUGGCCCGGGUUUGGUAUUUGAAGAAUUGAUUCAUGUUACAUUGGCCCGGGUUUGGUAUUUGAAGAAUUGAUUCAUAUUGGACUGGCCCGGGUUUGGUAUUUGAAGAAUUGAUUCAUAUUGGACUGGCCCAGGUUUGAUAUUUGAAGAAUUGAUUCAUAUUGGACUGGCCCAGGUUUGAUAUUUGAAGAAUUGAUUCAUAUUGGACUGGCCCAGGUUUGAUAUUUGAAGAAUUGAUUCAUAUUGGACUGGCCCGGGUUUGAUAUUUGAAGAAUUGAUUCAUAUUGGACUGGCCCAGGUUUGAUAUUUGAAGAAUUGAUUCAUAUUGGACUGGCCCGGGUUUGAUAUUUGAAGAAUUGAUUCAUAUUGGACUGGCCCAGGUUUGAUAUUUGAAGAAUUGAUUCAUAUUGGACUGGCCCAGGUUUGAUAUUUGAAGAAUUGAUUCAUAUUGGACUGGCCCGGGUUUGGUAUUUGAAGAAUUGAUUCAUAUUGGACUGGCCCAGGUUUGAUAUUUGAAGAAUUGAUUCAUAUUGGACUGGCCCAGGUUUGAUAUUUGAAGAAUUGAUUCAUAUUGGACUGGCCCAGGUUUGAUAUUUGAAGAAUUGAUUCAUAUUGGACUGGCCCAAGUUUGAUAUUUGAAGAAUUGAUUCAUAUUGGACUGGCCCGGGUUUGAUAUUUGAAGAAUUGAUUCAUAUUGGACUGGCUCGGGUUUGAUAUUUGAAGAAUUGAUUCAUAUUGGACUGGCCCAGGUUUGAUAUUUGAAGAAUUGAUUCAUAUUGGAUUGGCCCGGGUUUGGUAUUUGAAGAAUUGAUUCAUAUUGGACUG